rnacentral:rRNA from 1 species
UACAGAGGGUGCAAGCGUUAAUCGGAAUUACUGGGCGUAAAGCGUGCGUAGUCGGUUAUUUAAGUCGGGCGUGAAAGCCCCGGGCUCAACCUGGGAAUUGCGUUCGAUACUGGAUAGCUAGAGUUCGGCAGAGGGAAGCGGAAUUUCGGGUGUAGCGGUGAAAUGCGUAGAUAUCCGAAGGAACAUCAGUGGCGAAAGCGGCUUCGUGGACCAGAACUGACGAUCAGGCACGAAAGCGUGGGGAGAAAACAGG